ACACUUUCUGAUUUAAGUAUCGGAGGAUCUCCAUCAGAGAACUUCCAUCUCCUUCUCCGAUGUGAGCGGACUUUCUUUGCAAAUGACCAGAAUCUUGACUGGCACCUACCUACUCCAAUUGGACGGACAAUCUGAUCUGUCCCAUCAUGUUGCUUUUUGAUGAAGAGAUGUUGCAAUAGGUGGCAAUCCAGAUUGCCUUAGCAAUCUACAUUACCUCCCAAGAGGCAAUCUAGAUAGCUUUGGGAAGGGGUGGCUAUCC
rnacentral:lncRNA from 1 species